rnacentral:rRNA from 1 species
ACAUGCAAGUCGAACGAGUAAGGCCUAGCUUGCUAGGAUUCUGCUAGUGGCGCACGGGUGAGUAACGCGUGGGAAUUUACCUAAUAGUAUGGAAUAACAUUCAGAAAUGAAUGCUAAUACCGUAUAAGCCCUGAGGGGGAAAGAUUUAUCGCUAUUAGAUAAGCCCGCGUUGGAUUAGCUUGUUGGUAAGGUAAUGGCUUACCAAGGCUACGAUCCAUAGCUGGUCUGAGAGGAUGAUCAGCCACACUGGGACUGACACACGGCCCAGACUCCUACGGGAGGCAGCAGUGGGGAAUAUUGGACAAUGGGCGAAAGCCUGAUCCAGCAAUGCCACGUGAGUGAUGAAGGCCUUCGGGUUGUAAAGCUCUUUUAACAAGGAAGAUAAUGACGGUACUUGUAGAAAAAGCACCGGCUAACUCCGUGCCAGCAGCCGCGGUAAUACGGAGGGUGCUAGCGUUGUUCGGAAUUACUGGGCGUAAAGGGCGCGUAGGCGGUUAAUUAAGUUGGAAGUGAAAUCCCAGAGCUCAACUCUGGAACUGCUUUCAAAACUGGUUGGCUAGAGUUAGGUAGAGGAUAGUGGAAUUCCCAAUGUAGAGGUGAAAUUCGUAGAUAUUGGGAGGAACACCAGAGGCGAAGGCAACUAUCUGGACCUUAACUGACGCUGAGGCGCGAAAGUGUGGGGAGCAAACAGGAUUAGAUACCCUGGUAGUCCACACUGUAAACGAUGAGUGCUAGGUAUUGGAUUUUAAUUCAGUGCCGUAGCUAACGCGUUAAGCACUCCGCCUGGGGACUACGGU